AGUCCUGAUUUAUAGCAGAAAUAUACAUGCUACCACUGAGGAUUUGGCUCCAGAAUAUGCCUGCAUUUGUGAUGUAAAGAGGCUUAACAGUCAAACCCUGGAGAACUAUUGAGAGCCUUGAAAAAAUUGAGCUUCCUCUGACAAUAAGUGUGUCAGCCUCAGCAUCUUUGAUUACAUCUCUGGAAGCUAUACUGCCAAGGUGUAUGAAAUCAUUACUGAAAAAGCAUGGGAGCAAGCACACA
rnacentral:lncRNA from 1 species